rnacentral:rRNA from 1 species
GAUGAACGCUGGCGGCGUGCCUAAUACAUGCAAGUCGAGCGAACAGACGAGAAGCUUGCUUUUCUGAUGUUAGCGGCGGACGGGUGAGUAACACGUGGAUAACCUACCUAUAAGACUGGGAUAACUUCGGGAAACCGGAGCUAAUACCGGAUAAUAUUUUGACCCGCAUGGUUCAAAAGUGAAAGACGGUCUUGCUGUCACUUAUAGAUGGAUCCGCGCUGCAUUAGCUAGUUGGUAAGGUAACGGCUUACCAAGGCAACGAUGCAUAGCCGACCUGAGAGGGUGAUCGGCCACACUGGAACUGAGACACGGUCCAGACUCCUACGGGAGGCAGCAGUAGGGAAUCUUCCGCAAGGGGCGAAAGCCUGACGGAGCAACGCCGCGUGAGUGAUGAAGGUCUUCGGAUCGUAAAACUCUGUUAUUAGGGAAGAACAUAUGUGUAAGUAACUGUGCACAUCUUGACGGUACCUAAUCAGAAAGCCACGGCUAACUACGUG